UACAGAGGUCCCGAGCGUUGUUCGGAUUCACUGGGCGUAAAGAGCUCGUAGGCGGCCUGUCGCGUCGGCUGUGAAAACCCGGGGCUCAACCCCGGGCCUGCAGUCGAUACGGGCAGGCUAGAGUUCGGCAGGGGAGACUGGAAUUCCUGGUGUAGCGGUGAAAUGCGCAGAUAUCAGGAGGAACACCGGUGGCGAAGGCGGGUCUCUGGGCCGAUACUGACGCUGAGGAGCGAAAGCGUGGGGAGCGAACAGG
rnacentral:rRNA from 1 species